ACUGUGAGCAACCCAGAAACUGAUGCCAUUUGAUGAGCACCAGACAUCGAUGCCCUAAUUUCGCCCUUCAGAUUCACGGUACCAAUUGAAAAUUAUCUCAGUUAAGCAACAGGAGCCUCUAGCAAAUUAUCUAGAUAAACUGUAGUAACAGGACUUGAAGAUAUAUCUCAUGAUAGUGGUAGAAAGUGCAGCAAGCAUCAAGUAAUGAGGCUUCAGGAACAAGAAUAAUCGGCCAAUAGAAAAAAAACCUUGAAUAAGC
rnacentral:lncRNA from 1 species